GUUCUCCUUAGUCCUCCUUUGCCUUUCCUUUGGAAAACCCUUUCUUCACACCCGUGCACCCAUUGUAGGUCUCCGCGAGGGGAUCUAUGUCUUCACAUAAACACUACGUAUGUCUAGGAAUGUAUCUAAAAGCGUCGGACGGCUUGGCUUCGUGCCCGGUCGGCGACGGUAAAGAACCAUAAUACAACUUUCAGCAACGGAUCUCUUGGCUCUCGCAUCGAUGAAGAACGCAGCGAAUUGCGAUAAGUAAUGUGAAUUGCAGAUUUUCAGUGAAUCAUCGAAUCUUUGAACGCACCUUGCGCUCCUUGGUAUUCCGAGGAGCAUGCCUGUUUGAGUGUCAUUUAAUUCUCAACCAUCCCUCGAUUCGUUUCGAGGGUUUGGCUUGGAUUUUGGGGGCUGCCGGGCGACCCUAGGGUCUUCGGCUCUCCUUAAAAGCAUUAGCGAUGGCGGCGCGAUCUAACCCCC
rnacentral:misc_RNA from 1 species